rnacentral:tRNA from 1 species
GGGGUUGUAGCUCAGCGGUAGAGCACUCGCCUAGCACGUGCAAGACUGGGUUUGAUCCUCAGCACCACA